GGUGUUAUAGCUCAGUUGGUAGCUUGCUUGCCUUUCAUGCACAAGACCCUGGGUUCAAUCCCCAGUAGCACGA
rnacentral:tRNA from 1 species